rnacentral:tRNA from 1 species
GGGCCCGUAGCUCAGCAAGGCAGAGCGGCGGACUCGCCUAAUGGGCGGGGUUGAAGCUCUUAAGCCUGCUCUUUCGGAGAGACCCGUAAGGACGGCGGUAAGACGCGUCUCGGGAGGGUCGAGGGUUCAAUUCCCUCCGGGCCCG